rnacentral:rRNA from 1 species
AUGGCUCAGCAUGAACGCUAGCGACAGGCUUAACACAUGCAAGUCGAGGGGCAGCGGUGGUGAAGGCUGCCUUUACCAGCCGGCGACCGGCGCACGGGUGAGUAACACGUAUGCAACCUGCCUGCCACAGCCGGAUAAUCGGGAGAAAUUCCGUCUAAUACGGCAUAAUGCAUCGACGGGACAUCCUGUUGGUGCCAAAGGUUGAUUCCGGUGGCGGAUGGGCAUGCGUCGCAUUAGUUAGUUGGCGGUGUAACGGACCACCAAGACGACGAUGCGUAGGGGUUCUGAGAGGAAGGUCCCCCACACUGGUACUGAGACACGGACCAGACUCCUACGGGAGGCAGCAGUGAGGAAUAUUAGUCAAUGGGCGGGAGCCUGAACCAGCCAAGUCGCGUGAGGGAUGACGGCCCUAUGGGUUGUAAACCUCUUUUGCCGGGGAGCAAAGUGCCGCACGUGUGCGGUUUGGAGAGUACCCGGAGAAAAAGCAUCGGCUAACUCCGUGCCAGCAGCCGCGGUAAUACGGAGGAUGCGAGCGUUAUCCGGAUUUAUUGGGUUUAAAGGGUGCGUAGGCGGACGCUUAAGUCAGCGGUAAAAUUGCGGGGCUCAACCUCGUCGAGCCGUUGAAACUGGGUGCCUUGAGUGGGCGAGAAGUACGCGGAAUGCGUGNNGUAGCGGUGAAAUGCAUAGAUAUCACGCAGAACUCCGAUUGCGAAGGCAGCGUACCGGCGCCCAACUGACGCUGAAGCACGAAGGCGUGGGUAUCGAACAGGAUUAGAUACCCUGGUAGUCCACGCAGUAAACGAUGAAUGCUAGUUGUCCGGGGCGAUUGAGUUCUGGGUGACACAGCGAAAGCGUUAAGCAUUCCACCUGGGGAGUACGCCGGCAACGGUGAAACUCAAAGGAAUUGACGGGGGCCCGCACAAGCGGAGGAACAUGUGGUUUAAUUCGAUGAUACGCGAGGAACCUUACCCGGGCUCAAACGCAGGAGAGAUGUUUUUGAAAGGAGGCAGCCAGCAAUGGUCUCCUGCGAGGUGCUGCAUGGUUGUCGUCAGCUCGUGCCGUGAGGUGUCGGCUUAAGUGCCAUAACGAGCGCAACCCCUACCUACAGUUGCCAUCGCGUGAUGGCGGGCACUCUGUGGGGACUGCCUGCGCAAGCAGUGAGGAAGGCGGGGAUGACGUCAAAUCAGCACGGCCCUUACGUCCGGGGCGACACACGUGUUGCAAUGGCAGGUACAGCGGGAAGCCACCCGGCGACGGGGCGCGGAACCCGAAAACCUGUCUCAGUUCGGAUUGGAGUCUGCAACCCGACUCCAUGAAGCUGGAUUCGCUAGUAAUCGCGCAUCAGCCACGGCGCGGUGAAUACGUUCCCGGGCCUUGUACACACCGCCCGUCAAGCCAUGGAAGCCGGGGGUGCCUGAAGUGCGUGACCGCAAGGAGCGCCCUAGGGUAAAACCGGUGACUGGGGCUAAGUCGUAACAAGG